ACGACGUUGAUAGGCCGGGUGUGUAAGCGCAGCGAUGCGUUGAGCUAACCGGUACUAAUGACCCGUGAGGCUUAACCUU
rnacentral:rRNA from 1 species